CUGUUUUGAAAAAGUAGUCAAAAACUACUGGCUACUUGAAAAUUGUAGUUCGCUACAGUAGCGAACUACAACUACUUCGCUACUACCCACCCUUGGAUUUUUCUGGUUAUGUUUUUCCUUUCACACGGCAAAUUUCAGUGGAUUUUUGGUCAAAAAUGUUAUCCAGCUGAAAAUCUGCUGAAGUAUUUGACGCCGAGUGGAAGUACCAUGCUUUGGACUAAUCACGUGCUUGCGCGUUUGGUAUAGUAAUUUGAUACUAUUUACACUCAGACGCUGUAGCUUUUUUCAAAAGUGGGAAGAUUAUUAUUCAAAUUUUCUUGUAUAUUAACUCAACAAGACUAAACAAUUGUACUUGGACUUUGCUUCGAAGGUAUGUUUGUUGUGUAUUUACUAUUCAGCAAUUAAUAUCUAUUAUCUAUACGAAUACUUGCUCGACAUGCUGUUCUGUGUCUGUGAAGGUUUGAUCUGAGUUAUUUAAAUCUAAAUCUUGAAUUCAUUUUUGCAGUAGAUACUGAGCGAAUAGUUUGUGAGUUGUUCGCGACCAACACAUUUAAUAAAAUGCGAAAGUAGCAAGUUUUAUAUUUGUUAAUAGGCAAAUGAUGGACACCAAGACGAGCAUCGAUCUUCAAUAUGACAAUUUGUAUUAAUUUUAAUAAUUUAGAAUUCGAUAGUUGUAUGCAUCUGGGACGAUUUUAAGAGAAACAUACUUCUACUCAUUUUAGCCAGGUAGUGAUCCAAGACUACCUCUCUUACUGAUUACUAUUUCUUAGGUUAAGAGUUCAGGAUUCCUAUGAGGGGAGAGUUGAUGAGGGUGAAGCCACUCAAGCCAGUAGGUAAACAAUUAGAAUACAGCACUUGCAUUAGAACUGGACUACAUUUCUACUAAUUACUAUUUGAAAUUUCACAGUGUAUAUGUGUAUAAUUUUCAGUCACCAUAUGGGCAAUGUUAUUUUUGUGUGAUAAUGACCAAUCACAAAUCGGCAAACUUGAAUUUGUUCCAGAACCAAUGAAGUUUGAAUUAUAAACUACAGUACAUCAUGCUAAAAAAGAUAUGAAACAUUUUACUUUGUCCGUUGUUCAAGAAAAGCUGAUAAAUGUCCGACUAUAUUUUAUCUUGGCUGGACAUUUGUCCUUCCAAGCAAAAUAAUUAUUUGCAGGUCUGGUUAACUAGACACAUGGGCAGAUAGGCCAGUUAACCCAUUAACCAGCGCUCUCCACUUGAUGAGUAAAAUUGUUAGGGGUGCACCGGAACUCGGUUCCGGCCGGUUAGUUCCGGCCGGAACCCCGAUUUUUUAGAGUUCCGGUUCCGGCCGGAACUAGUAAAAAAAGCAUGGCCGGAACCGGAACUCUGUCGUUUUCAGGGAGAUAGAAUAUCAAACGUUUUUGUGUCUAACAAAAGUCACAGUAGGAAGAAAGUUGGACUACGCAAGGGAAAUGUACACUAUUAACACUUCAUUAUGACGUUUAACGUUUGUCAGUCUUUUUAUUCUGACAUUUGCGAACUCUCUACUUGAUGAUUUGAAGUGUCUGCUUGUCUGGCAGCGGACAAAGUAACAUAUGACUAUAUAUGGCUUAAUAAAUUAGUUCCGGUUCCGGCCGGAACUUUUUUCCAGUUCUGGUCGGAUCCGGUUCCGGCCGGAACUUAAAAAACCGGUUCCGGUGCAUCCCUAAAAAUUGUUUGGCGUUAGACAGAGUAAAAUAAUUUGGCAAGCGUUAGACAGUAAAAUAAUAAAGUAGGCUGCAUCAGGGUGCAAUGCAACUUAAUGGGUUAAAGUGUGUAAUGAUGAUUAUGUCAGAUUAUUGAAUAUCAGAUGUAUAUCUGGGUAGUAAAAAUUACUAUGUGGUGCACCAUUUUUGUCCAAACAAUGUAACAGAAUACCAGAAUUGAUUAGUUCAUGUGUACUGAUUCGACCACAUGCUCACUUCGUAUAUAGUAUCAGGCCUAAAAAAUACCUGUGGUUCCGGUUCAUGACCAACGCUAUUUUUUUCUGCCGACCCUAUUAUUUUUUCAACGCGAUUGACUGUGCGACCCUAUUUUCUCUGGGUGGUUGCGGGCUGCUCAUACAGUGUGCCAAAAUGGCAUUUUACUUUUCACACUAAUUAUUGAACCAAAUUGCCUAAAUUUGUCCAUAGGAAAUACACAUCUCUAGUUAAUAUUGAUGUCGGAACUCACUGCAAAUCGCCCAGCAAAAACCCACCAAACCCAUGAAAAUUGUGUUUCCGACCUACCGACCCUAAUUUUUUUACGAUAUGAAACUGGAACCACAGGUAUUUUUUUAAGCCUUACUAGCAAUUACUUUCUGGAUAAUCAAUAAUUUUCUGCUGCUGUAAUAUCAACCUUAUAUUUUUUAUUAGGGGUUGUUUUCAUGAAUUCAUGUUCCCACCACCACUAAAAUCACCACCUCACAGAAUGGCAAUAUAAUCACGAUAGACCAGUAAAUCUACUUCAUCGCCUAUAUGGGGAACAUUAUUUUCUGGCGAGAACAUGGCCGUUGAAUACCAAAGUAAGGAAGGAAAAGAGUUACAGAGUUGUGGUAUGCAACUUGAAUGUUUAGUACUAAAGUUGACAUUUAUGACAUUAUGUGAUUUAUGUAUCAGACAAAUGUCUUGUCAAGUCAAAUAUUUAUUUGCAGCCCCGCUGUAUAUAUGUGAGUAAAUAGGUUGGCUGGGGUGCCUUGGUGUUGGUAACAGACAAACAGUGAGGGAGUCUACCCCUUUUCAUCUUCCCAGACCUGAGAGAUAGAUUGUUGAAGAGGAUGCCAUUCCUACCUAGAACAUACCACACCGAAGUACUACUCAUACACAGACAGGACAGUUGCUGUGUUGGUGUCACCCAGGAUUCGAAACUGCAACCUUGUGUUUACAAGCCCAACGCUCCACAACUGAGCUAACUGGGUGAAUCAGACACAAGGCAGCAGGUUUGAUGUAUUUAUAUACUGUACUAUAUGCAGUUAUAUAUUAUAUUUAUAAUCAUUCUCAAUAGAACAGAAUGUAAAAGGGUUUUUGUAGAUGGUAAUUUUGAACAAAAACUGUUUACUUACAUAAUAUACUAUAGUUACACCGAGCUGGGAGUAAUUGCAAAAAAUGUAACUCCGGUAGGAAUCAAACUUGCAAAUCUGCUGCAGUGCUUGGACCAAUGAGCAACAUAAUACAGUUGCCAACAACUACAGUGCCGGUACAUGAAACUUCAUGUAUAUGCUAAGCCGCUAAGGUGGUGUCAGUAUAUUAUGGUAUAUGUCUGAGUACAGUAAAUAUCUUUACUCUGUGUUUGGCUUCUGCUGGCAGCACCCUAAUAUUUAAUAUACAUAAACUUAAUUGUGGUAAAAUGUGUAAACUAUAUCGUUUUCAUUCAAAAUUUCCAUCCACAAGAACUAUUUAAUAAUAAUAAUAGCAUACUUAUGUUAGUACUAAGGCAGUAACGGUAUUAUAUUAAAGUUUUUUGCGAGGUAAAAUUAAAAUUCGAGUUAAUAAAAUAGGUACAGAACGACUCUUUUUGCGGUAAAUUUUACUCCUGAAUAAUGUUAAAAAAACAAAUAUAAUUUACUUCAAAAAAGGGACUCCAGUUUUUUGUUUUACUUCGCUAAACAAAACACAAAAUAACUCCUUUAAAUUAACAGUAUAAGAUUCUUACCUCAAUUCAUGUUUACUCCAAAGAACAAACAAACAAACAAACACAAGAAAUCUUCUCAUAAAAAAAGAAGGAAGUCAAAGACAAAAUACUAAAAACUUGCAUAAAAAAGCAUGUAUAAUGAUGUAUUUUCGUUGACUCGCCCCAUUCUUUCGCUCGGAAACUACAUUGCUUUACUGUAAAUAGGGUGUGGCAUAAAUGCCAUCAAAUGCUACAGUUCAAAAAGCUGGAAAAAAAUCCCCUAAUCUCGUACAUUUGUAACACUGAAUUUCCAGCUAUUAUUAUUGAAUUUCCAACUGUUAUUAUUCAAUAUUAUUAUCAUGUACCUAACUAGAAAAACAUCAAAAACUCGUACAAAUCGAAUGUCGUUUAUUGUGUCAAAACGAGGAGUCUUUAGGUCCAUUGUUCCCUUGUAUUCUUUACGUGACAUUAGUUCUUCAAUUAAUCUUCUAAAAAAAUCCUUAUGAACUUUUAAUUCAGGAGAAAUGAAUAUUUUUCAUGUUACAAAAAGGACAAUUUAUGUUACAAAAAGGAGUUUUUCCUUUUUGUAACAUCCGAUUUUACAUCAAAACCGCAAAUUUCUGAAAAAGUAUUUCAUCUAAAAUUCUCAACUUCUCUGUCGCUAAAUGCAACUCCUAUGCGCAGCCUGUUGCCAAGUAUGAAAGAAGUUGACGGAAAACUCGCAAUUUUAGAAAAGUUUUACCAACAUUUUUUUCAUCAGUGCGUUUUGCCCAUCGUUCUAGAGUAGCAAGGCUGGUAAAGGUACAACAGAAAAACUUCGACAUGUUGCACAGGCAAUUGCUACGAAAUGAAUCACGACGGAUACUCAAGGGUAUGUUAGAAUAAACGAGGGUGGUUACAACUUCAUACCCUUGCUUUGUCCGGUGAAAAAAGACAAAAAAAUGAGCUUUUCUCAGACAAAAUUCCCUUUUGUAACAAUAGACGCUACUUUUCAUAAAAAUAUCGCGACAUAUUUGUCUCAAUCUUUUGCCGCUGAAAUGUGUUAAUAUAUAACCCAUUUGCUGCAAUAUAUUGCCUUACUGGAAAGACUUGUUAUAUUCCGAAUCGAAAGGGUGCAAUUGAAAAAAUGUUACCAAAAGUCAAGGAGAUUCAUCUAAGAAUGAAUGAAUGAAUGAAUGAAUGAACGAACGAAU